ACUGACGUGGUUCACUAAUACCAUCCCACGAAAAAAAACUAGGAGGAA
rnacentral:ncRNA from 1 species